CACUGAGGAGAGAUGUAGCUGGUGGGCACCUAUCUACACUACAAACAUGUAUAUGGUUUCUACCAGUCCUAUCCUGGAAGUUCUAGGAUCAGGUAGGAGCAGGAUCGCUCCUACCUCAUGACUCCCACCUGACCAGAACCUCUGUUUGGGUUUGCAAAUCCAGCGCCCACACAACUGAGGAUCCAUUGGCAGACUUCAUUGAAAUCAGGAGCUGUAAGCCCCACCCUACUGUGGAUGGUCCUCCAAACACAUCUCUGCCUUCCCAGCAUGCACUGUGCUACCAAAAGACUGGAAAAAUCUCAUGACAGCAGUGAUUGCUCCCUGCCAACUUCUCUGGUCAUGAACCUCCAUGAUCAACUGGAAGUUACAGAACAGUAGAGCUUGAAAGUGGAUAUGAACGGUGGUGUUCAAUGGGUGAAAAUAAAUACGUCAUAAGGAAGCAUUUAAAUGAGUAGCAGAAAUAUAGAAAACGAGAACAAUUUGCUGCAAGUGCAUGGUAGAAAACUUGCAGAAUGUCUACAUUUCUCACCCCUGUUCAAUCAGCUAACUGAGAGAAGUAUAAGAGUGCAUAAGAGUGCAGAAGUAUAAGAGUACAUUCCAGCUUGUUUUGUGUAAGGAGAAAUCAGAACUAGCCAAUUAUUUUUAUCAUUGGACUACUGUUGAAAAUAAACCAG